rnacentral:rRNA from 1 species
CAAUAGCGUAUAUUUAAGUUGUUGCAGUUAAAAAGCUCGUAGUUGGAUUUCGGUUGAGAGCGGCCGGUCCGCUGUUUGGUGUGCACUGGCUGGUUUCAACUUCCUGUAGAGGACGCGCUUUGGGCUUAACGGUCUGAACGUGGAGUCUACGUGGUUACUUUGAAAAAAUUAGAGUGUUCAAAGCGGGCUUACGCUUGAAUAUUUCAGCAUGGAAUAACACUAUAGGACUCCUGUCCUAUUUCGUUGGUCUCGGGACGGGAGCAAUGAUUAAGAGGAACAGUUGGGGCAUUCGUAUUUCAUUGUCAGAGGUGAAAUUCUUGGAUUUAUGAAAGACGAACUUCUGCGAAAGCAUUUGCCAAGGAUGUUUUCAUUAA